ACAGAGGGUGCAAACGUUGUUCGGAAUUACUGGGCGUAAAGCGCGUGUAGGCUGCUUCGCAAGUCGGAUGUGAAAGCCCUGGGCUCAACCCAGGAAGUGCAUUCGAAACUGCAGAGCUGGAGUCCUGGAGAGGAAGGCGGAAUUCUCGGUGUAGAGGUGAAAUUCGUAGAUAUCGAGAGGAACACCGGUGGCGAAGGCGGCCUUCUGGACAGUGACUGACGCUGAGACGCGAAAGCGUGGGGAGCAAACAGGAUUAGAUACCCUGGUAGUCCACGCCGUAAACGAUGGGUGCUAGGUGUUGCGGGCUUUGACCCCUGCAGUGCCGUAGCUAACGCAUUAAGCACCCCGCCUGGGGAGUACGGCCGCAAGGCUA
rnacentral:rRNA from 1 species